rnacentral:rRNA from 1 species
AUUGAACGCUGGCGGCAGGCCUAACACAUGCAAGUCGAACGAGCGGCGGACGGGUUAGUAAUGUCUGGGAAAAUGCCUGAUGGAGGGGGAUAACUACUGGAAACGGUCGCUAAUACCGCAUACCAUCAGAUGUGCCCAGAGGGGAUUAGCUAGGGGGUGGGGUAAUGGCUCACCUAGGCGACGAUCCCUAGCUGGUCGGAGAGGAGGACCAGCCACACUGGAACUGAGAGACGGUCCAGACUCCUACGGUAGGCAGCAGUGGGGAAGAUUGCACAAUGGGCGCAAGCCUGAUGCAGCCAUGCCGCGUGUGUGAAGAAGGCCUUCGGGUUGUAAAGCACUUUCAGCGGGGAGGCGUUACCCGCAGAAGAAGCACCGGCUAACUCCGUGCCAGCAGCCGCGGUAAUAC